rnacentral:rRNA from 1 species
GAGGACCGGGAUGGACAUACCUCUGGUGUACCAGUUGUCGUGCCAACGGCAUAGCUGGGUAGCUAUGUAUGGACGGGAUAAGUGCUGAAAGCAUCUAAGCAUGAAGCCCCCCUCGAGAUGAGAUUUCCCAACUUCGGUUAUAAGAUCCCUCAAAGAUGAUGAGGUGAAUAGGUUCGAGGUGGAAGCGUAGCGAUACGUGGAGCUGACGAAUACUAAUCGAUCGAAGACUUAAUCAAU